UCUCCGUUGGUGAACCAGCGGAGGGAUCAUUACAGAGUUUUCACAACUCCCAACCCUUGCGAACCGUACCCAUUCUGUUCUCGUUGCUUCCGGCGGGGGGGACGCGGGGGCCCGAAACGGCCUCCCCGCCCCGCCCGCCGGGGGCGGCGGGCCCUACGAACCUUUAUAUUUCAACCACCAGAAACCGUCUGAGAAAACAAACAAAAUAAUCAAAACUUUCAACAACGGAUCUCUUGGCCCUGGAAUCGAUGAAGAACGCAGCAGAUCGGAAUCGCACAC
rnacentral:misc_RNA from 1 species